AACGCACAUUGCGCCCGCCAGUAUUCUGGCGGGCAUGCCUGUCCGAGCGUCAUUUCAACCCUCGAACCCCCCCGGGGGAUCGGUGUUGGGGACCGGCCUCAGCCUCUAGCAGGCGGUCGCCGCCCCCGAAAUACAGUGGCGGUCUCGCCGCAGCCUCCCCUGCGCAGUAGCUUGCACACUCGCACCGGAGAGCGGCGCGUCCACGCCGUUAAACCACCCAAACUUAUGAAGGUUGACCUCGGAUCAGGUAGGAAUACCCGCUGAACUUAA
rnacentral:misc_RNA from 2 species